AGAGUUUGAUCCUGGCUCAGGAUGAACGCUAGCGGCAGGCUUAACACAUGCAAGUCGAGGGGCAGCGGGGAGGAAGCUUGCUUUCUCCGCCGGCGACCGGCGCACGGGUGAGUAACACGUAUGCAACCUGCCCCUGUCAGGGGGACAACCCGCCGAAAGGCGGGCUAAACCCGCGUACAUGCCACCGGGGCAUCCCGGAGGCAGGAAAGGCUUCGGCCGGACAGGGAUGGGCAUGCGGCGCAUUAGGCAGUAGGCGGGGUAACGGCCCACCUAACCGACGAUGCGUAGGGGUUCUGAGAGGAAGGUCCCCCACACUGGUACUGAGACACGGACCAGACUCCUACGGGAGGCAGCAGUGAGGAAUAUUGGUCAAUGGUCGGGAGACUGAACCAGCCAAGCCGCGUGAGGGAGGAAGGUACAGAGUAUCGUAAACCUCUUUUGUCAGGGAACAAAGGCGGGGACGUGUCCCCGGAUGAGUGUACCUGAAGAAAAAGCAUCGGCUAACUCCGUGCCAGCAGCCGCGGUAAUACGGAGGAUGCGAGCGUUAUCCGGAUUUAUUGGGUUUAAAGGGUGCGCAGGCGGUCUGUUAAGUCAGCGGUCAAAGCCCGGGGCUCAACCCCGGCCCGCCGUUGAAACUGGCAGUCUCGAGUUGGAGAGAAGUAUGCGGAAUGCGCGGUGUAGCGGUGAAAUGCAUAGAUAUCGCGCAGAACUCCGAUUGCGAAGGCAGCAUGCCGGCUCCACACUGACGCUGAGGCACGAAAGCGUGGGUAUCGAACAGGAUUAGAUACCCUGGUAGUCCACGCAGUAAACGAUGAAUGCUGGCUGUCCGGGGGGAUUGACCCCUGGGUGGCGAAGCGAAAGCGAUAAGCAUUCCACCUGGGGAGUACGCCGGCAACGGUGAAACUCAAAGGAAUUGACGGGGGCCCGCACAAGCGGAGGAACAUGUGGUUUAAUUCGAUGAUACGCGAGGAACCUUACCCGGGCUCAAACGGGGAGUGACUCAGGCAGAGACGCCUGUUUCCCACGGGACACUCCCCGAGGUGCUGCAUGGUUGUCGUCAGCUCGUGCCGUGAGGUGUCGGCUUAAGUGCCAUAACGAGCGCAACCCCCGCGUGCAGUUGCUAACAGAUAACGCUGAGGACUCUGCACGGACUGCCGGCGCAAGCCGCGAGGAAGGCGGGGAUGACGUCAAAUCAGCACGGCCCUUACGUCCGGGGCGACACACGUGUUACAAUGGGUGGUACAGCGGGAAGCCAGGCGGCGACGCCGAGCGGAACCCGAAAUCCACUCUCAGUUCGGAUCGGAGUCUGCAACCCGACUCCGUGAAGCUGGAUUCGCUAGUAAUCGCGCAUCAGCCAUGGCGCGGUGAAUACGUUCCCGGGCCUUGCACACACCGCCCGUCAAG
rnacentral:rRNA from 1 species